ensembl:lncRNA
GUCCACGCGGAAAUGCACAGCGGCUGACUUGAUGACGUCACCACAGUAGGCGGUCCUUCUUUACGCGCGCACACGGAAACAAAUAAAGGGGCAGCAGCGGGUAAACGAGCUCCGACCGGGUGAAGCACGAGGCGAAGUUACGGCAGCAGAGCGACAUGAACGGGCUGAUAGAACCACAACUACCGGCUCCAAUACUCUAGCUCCGACCGGGUGAAGCACGAGGCGAAGUUACGGCAGCAGAGCGACAUGAACGGGCUGAUAGAACCACAACUACCGGCUCCAAUACUCUGUAAGUACGCGAGUGUUUGAAUGAAGCACACCUGGAACUAUAACCGGGUGUUUUACUUCUGCUGCCCACCCGAUACGGGAAAAACGGUCCUUUUUGUUAAGCUUAGCGGUAGCGGUAAGUAGCACUUAUUUUCUCAUUUGGUAAUUUCCUAAUUUAUGUGAUCAUUGUGGCCUUGGUUGCGUAUGCCAGUGCAGCUUUCUUUGGUUAAAAAAAUGUAACCGCGCCCCCUUUUACAUUGUUUAUUUUGAGCUGUUAAAAAUGUGUGAUAUGUCAGUUCUGCCCUUUUCAACUUAGAAAUGUGUAUAUUUCUGUGGCGCUUUAGUAAUGGGCACUGAGUAAUGAGAAAUAUUUAAGAGUGGUGUCAGUUUUUAUUUGUGAGAAUCAAGGUGUUAAAGAUAAAUGGUUAUUCUUGGUAUCCUC